ACCCCUAAGGGGUUGAAUUCUAAAUAAUCCUUUCAUAGCGGUUGUCCAAGUCAUAAUAGCUAUCUGCAUGCCAAUUCAGCCCAAUCCAUCCAGUAGUUUGAGCUGUGAGUUGACAGAUCAGUCAGUCAGUCACUAUUUCCUUUUAUAUAGAUUUGCA